rnacentral:rRNA from 1 species
CCAGACUCCUACGGGAGGCAGCAGUGAGGAAUAUUGGUCAAUGGGCUUACGCCUGAACCAGCCAAGUCGCGUGAGGGAAGACUGCCCUAUGGGUUGUAAACCUCUUUUGUCAGGGAGCAACGCCGGCUACGUGUAGCCGGACUGAGAGUACCUGAAGAAAAAGCAUCGGCUAACUACGUGCCAGCAGCCGCGGUAAUACGUAGGGGGCAAGCGUUAUCCGGAUUUACUGGGUGUAAAGGGAGCGUAGACGGCUGUGCAAGUCUGGAGUGAAAGGCAUGGGCUCAACCUGUGGACUGCUUUGGAAACUGUGCGGCUUGAGUGUCGGAGGGGCAAGUGGAAUUCCUAGUGUAGCGGUGAAAUGCAUAGAUAUCGCGCAGAACUCCGAUUGCGAAGGCAGCAUGCCGGCUCCACACUGACGCUGAGGCACGAAAGCGUGGGUAUCGAACAGGAUUAGAUACCCUUGUAGAG